AAUCAAAGAUCAAGGUCUUAACCACAAGACAACUAUGAUGCCUCAGGUCAAAGGAUUACUUUGCAUUAUCCCAACCAUGAGUUCUUAUGUGACAUGGAAUAUGAGAACUCUUCGUUGAUCGCGUUCAGUGAACUCAUUCUCUAUUGAGCACCUACCGUACUUGUCUUGAUGUCACACACACCAAUGAUUCGAGACUUAUCACUCUCCCUGAGAGAAGACAUAGUACGUACCGAUCUUGACGGACUGUCAAUGCCCAAUUGGCAAUCCUAUGA
rnacentral:lncRNA from 1 species